rnacentral:rRNA from 1 species
UACGUAGGGUGCUAACGUUGUUCGGAAUCACUGGGCAUAAAGAGCGCGUAGGCGGUCUGAUAAGUCAGGUGUGAAAUCCCCCGGCUCAACCGGGGAACUGCACCUGAUACUGUUGGGCUUGAGUCCAGGAGGGGAGAGCGGAAUUCCUGGUGGAGCGGUGAAAUGCGUAGAUAUCAGGAGGAACGCCGGCGGCGAAAGCGGCUCUCUGGCCUGUUACUGACGCUGAGGCGCGAAAGCUAGGGGAGCAAACGGG